GAUUGAACUUAAGAGUUUGAUCCUGGCUCAGAUUGAACGCUGGCGGCAUGCCUAACACAUGCAAGUCGAACGGUAACAGGUCUUCGGAUGCUGACGAGUGGCGGACGGGUGAGUAACGCGUAGGAAUCUGUCUUUGAGUGGGGG
rnacentral:rRNA from 1 species